GUUAGAAUAAACAUUAUAAUGCAAUGCUCAAUUCUGCGAGUUUUCACUGAAAUAUCGACAUAAUACAAGGUAGUGAUUGCCAGGAUUUUCCUCUUGUCUGAUCAGAGAAAUUAUCUCAAAUGAACAACAUUUGGAUGUCCAAUGUUCGGAAAUCUCCCUCCUCCUGCUUGCUUUGGUUCAUUCCGGAGUUUCGGCAGAAUGCAUCGAUUGCUGAAUGAAGAUGGCGGAUUCACGAGCGUUACUGUCAACUACUCUUUUAACUUAACAAUUAGCAUAUUUUCAGGCAUUGUGCAUUUCGUGUGGAUAGCUGUCUUUCAAAAACAUUCAUUGGCCCUUGUCUCGUAGACGGCUGCUCACGCUGAGGCCUUCUGAAGCACAAACGCAAGGACAGCACUAGUCUCCCCGGCAACUAGAGGUCUGCCUACUUGACCAACCUCCUGAGCAUUUUUCAGAGGCAGUGGGGAGAAGUGGAGGAAGGCGUUAAGGCCGGAUUUGAGCGCGUGGCUUAGA
ensembl:lncRNA